rnacentral:misc_RNA from 1 species
AACCAUAGAAACCUGCGGAGUACCUGCGGAGGGAUCAUUAUUGAAUUUAAACAAAGGGUAUUUAGGUUGUAGCUGGCUCCAUUAGUUUGGAGCAUGUGCACACCUUUUGCUCUUUUUUUAAUCCACACACACCUGUGAACCUGUGAGGCAGAGACAUGGAUGGGAGAACUUUCAUUUACUUUAAAAUGAAUGAUUGGGACCCCUACCCCCCUCUGUCUACUCAACUCUAAUAUAAACCCA